rnacentral:lncRNA from 1 species
AAAUAAAACCUAUACUCCUAAAAAUAUAUAUGUAGUAGUGCGAGUAAGGAUCGUUCCCAUGGAGAGUAUCUAGCCUAGUUUUAUGCAACUUGAACAAGGACGGAGGGGGAGUUGAGUAUAACGAAAAUAAUAAAACAACUAAAGAAGAAUUCAGAUUUAAGUAUUGAAAUCAAUCAAAAGAACAAAUCUUGGUCUAAGUCAACAUCCACCAUCGGAAUUUUACAACUGAUCAUUGAUGCAAAGAUAUCAAUUUGCACUUUGAAUGUCCACCGAUAGAAAUAUUUUUCUAUCUCUUCUUAGUUAUAGUUAAUUAAAAACAAGCGAUCUAAUUAACCCUAACUACUAAACAACCCAUGACAAGCGCUAAAGGUUUAAUCUAGUAGCAGCCUUAAGAAUUAGAGAGAUCGAUGAAACUAAACAACACAAACACAAA